CUCUGCUGCGUGCACUGCAUGCUCCUCGUGUUUUGGAUACUGCGAGAUGCUGUGGUCUCCUUCGGAGGAGUAUGGAGCUGUCUGAGUGUAUCGAGUGUUAGGGCUGCAGUGAAAAUCAACUCUUUAAUAUAUGAUGUAAAGGCAGAUGCUGGAAGCAUGAUCUCAAGAGAAUAGCGCACGAAGAGAUCAUUGAGUCUUUGGGGAGGCCAUUGGGCGGCGUGCAGAAGGCAAGGGAUAUGGCCUCACUCUGUGAACAGCGAGGUUAAACCGAUGUUUUAUACCUGUGCUUGUCAGGCAGUCCCACCCAGCCCAGCACUAAGUCAGGGUGGUGUCACCGCAGUAGAGGCAGUGAGCUGGGAUUCAUCUUGCUAACGUGCAUCAAGGGUGUAUAUGACUCGCUUACUCAUUAUUCCCAGAGCGUACAUCCAUUGUCACCUUCUUGCCACAGCUUUGUACUGUUAGUUUGUAUUCUGUCAUGAUCGCCAAAAUCCUUCGCGGAGCCUCUGCUUUCCAGACAUAGCACCCUAGGAGUCUGCCUGGCAUUCCUUAU